AUGCCACCUUCUAUAAAUAGCGCGCAAACACUUUCUACUACAUAUCAUCUCAAGAGAGAAAAAGAAUCAAGCACACAUAGCGCAUCCACACAUUCGAGAAAGAAACAGCAAGGUCUCAUCAAACAAUUGAAGCUUCAUACAGAACAGGUGGCAAUGGCGGCAGUGUCCAAGAAGGCUCUGGUGACUACGGCUGUUCUGGCGUUGGCCGUUCUGGCCCCGACUGUCGCCGGGCUGGUGCCGUACGGCGUCAGCAGCGGGCUGUGGGACCUGCUCGACGACCCGUUCCGGGUGCUGGAGCAGACCCCGCUCGCGGUGCAGAGGCCGGCGUCCGCAGGCGGCCCGGGAGGGUCCAUCACGUCGGCGGUGGCGCUGGCGAGGUGCGACUGGAAGGAGACGCCCGACGCGCACGUCAUCUCGCUCGACGUGCCCGGGGUGAGGCGGGAUGACGUGAAGCUGGAGGUGGAGGAGAACCGGGUGCUGCGGGUCUCCGGCGAGCGCAAGGCGGACGAGGAGAAGGAGGGCGAGAGGUGGCACCGCGCCGAGCGCGCCGCGGGGAGGUUCUGGCGCCGGUUCCGCAUGCCAGCCGGCGCCGACGUCGACCGCGUUGCCGCGCGCCUCGAGGACGGCGUGCUCACCGUCACAGUGCCCAAGAUUGCCGAGCAUCAAAGGCGAGAGCCGCGCGUCAUCAACAUCGCCCGGGAGGAUGCCAACAGCGGCGGCAAGGGCGCGGACGCGGAGGUACCUUAA
rnacentral:rRNA from 1 species